AAUCAUAGUUUUAAUAAUCAAACUGACCUAAUCGGUCCGCCUGGGGAUCUGGAUUUGGUGGACCAACUGGUUCAGUCCAACAAUCAUAUCACUCAUGUAAUGAAUCGGGGGAGACCUGGUGCAACCCGAUCAAGUUGUUGGUUUUCAAACUUUUUUGUUUUUUUUAAGAAAAUUAAAAAACAAAAACAAGAAGGGAAGCCAUGGAAGCACAGACGCAGUUGCAAGUCGCAACACUGGGGUCACCAAUGGGGCCAACAACAAGGCUCUAAAACUCAGUUAUCGAAACAUUGAACCCUAGUGUCAUCAUCAGACUCGAACCAACCUCUAUCCACCGAUGUCGUCAAACCACCAACCAUUAUUCUGUCGUCACACAAAGGAGCCUAUAGAACUAGCACACACCAUAUUGUUGGACCACUACACGCACGUUGCCUUCGCGUUCUCCUCGUCGCUGCAUCAAACACACCACCGCCGCAAUGGAAGCCUUUUCCCCCUUCUGUAAACAGGUUGCUGCAGAAAAUAUGGCCAGGAGGCCUUACAUUAAUUGGGCUGUCAAGAGAGUUACCCGAUUUCUGCAGGUUCUGUGGCCUAGAUCCCGGACAAACAUAUUUGGUUCAAAUGCAACUGGUAUGUCCCUUCCAACAAGUGAUGUUGACCUUGUGGUUUGUCUCCCUCCAGUGAGAAACCUGGAACCUAUUAAAGAAGCUGGAAUACUGGAAGGUCGUAAUGGAAUUAAAGAAACGUGUCUUCAGCAUGCAGCUAGGUAUCUUGCCAAUCAAGAUUGGGUGAAAAAUGAUUCUCUGAAGACAGUGAAAAAUACAGCUAUUCCUAUUAUUAUGCUUGUGGUGGAAGUACCACAGGAUGUUAUUACCUCAUCAGCUCCUAUGAUACAGUCGUUAAAUGAAGAGCCACAUUGUACUCCUGUCUCCUGGAGAACAUGGUAAUGACAAUCAAUCCGAUACCUUCCAGUUAGAAGAUUUGGCUUUGUCAAAAAGAUCCCAAAUGAAAUUCGAUGCCUUGAAAUCGAAAUCAGUUAGACUGGACAUCAACUUUAAGUCCCCAUCACAUACUGGACUCCAGACUACAGAAAUGGUUAAGGGGUUGACAGAGCAAUUUCCAGCUGCUACACCUCUUGCUUUGGUACUAAAACAGUUUUUGGCUGAUCGAAGCCUUGAUCAGUCCGACUCUGGUGGCUUAAGUUCCUACUGUUUGGUCUUACUAAUUAUACGAUUUCUUCAGCAUGAACACCAUCUUGGCUGGCCAAUCAACCAAAAUUAUGGAAGUCUUCUAAUGGAUUUUCUUUACUUUUUUGGGAAUGUGUUUGAUCCUCGCCAAAUGAGAAUAUCAGUUCAGGGAAGUGGACUUUAUAUAAAAAGAGAAAGAGGUUGUAGCAUCGAUCCAAUUCACAUAGAUGAUCCUCUUUUUCCAACUAAUAAUUUGGGAAGGAAUUGCUUCUGAAUACAUCAAUGUAUUAAGGCAUUUUCAGAAGCUUACUCUGUUCUUGAAAAUGAACUCAAAUUCCUAAAUAGUGAUGGUGGGUCAUGUUCAAGGCCACCUUACAGACUGCUUCCAAAAAUCAUUCCAAGUCUUGAUAUAUCAUAAGAUUCUCACUACAUGAAGACUGAAAUUUUAUUUUUUCUAAAGGUUCCUGGCUUGUGCAAAGUUAUGCAUGCCAAAAUAUGGUCUGUCACUUUCAUCAUGCAGAGUAUAUAUGGAAGAUGAUCACUAACUGACGUCUAGCAGUGCAAAUGGUGGGUGUGGAAGUUGGACAUCUAAUAUCUUUUUCAUGCCUUGACAUCCAAGCCUUGGGUAUGCCUUUCAUGUAUUCAUUAGUUUUUUCCUAGUUACAUGGUGGCAACUUCCAAGAAAUGGGUUAAGGACUUUAUCCUAGAUGUUGUGCUGAUGAAGGGGUGGUUGAUCGUCUGGUCUGCUUGAUCAUCUUGGUUGGUUUAAGCUACAUAUUGCUCAAUCACUGAUUCAGCGGAGUUCUGUCAGACAUUUCUGAUGCAAAAUUUUGAUUAGAAGAGGCAAAAAUCUUCGAGUCGAUAAAGAACAGCAAAGUCAG